GCUCGGUUACGCAAAUGGUCAAAGCGGCCCGCCCUCAGGUGCGGGUGUUGAUGGGGGUUCAAAUCCCUCACCGGGCA
rnacentral:tRNA from 1 species